GACGAACGCUGGCGGCGUGCUUAACACAUGCAAGUCGAACGGUAAGGCCCUUCGGGGUACACGAGUGGCGAACGGGUGAGUAACACGUGGGUGAUCUGCCCUGCACUUCGGGAUAAGCCUGGGAAACUGGGUCUAAUACCGGAUAGGACCACUGCCUGCAUGGGUGGUGGUGGAAAGCUUUUGCGGUGUGGGAUGGGCCCGCGGCCUAUCAGCUUGUUGGUGGGGUGAUGGCCUACCAAGGCGACGACGGGUAGCCGGCCUGAGAGGGUGACCGGCAACACUGGGACUGAGAUACGGCCCAGACUCCGUCGGGAGGAAGCAGUGGGGAAUAUUGCACAAUGGGCGCAAGCCUGAUGCAGCGACGCCGCGGGAGGGAUGACGGCCUUCGGGUUGUAAACCUCUUUCAGCACCGACGAAGCGCAAGUGACGGUAGGUGCAGAAGAAGGACCGGCCAACUACGUGCCAGCCGCCGCGGUAA
rnacentral:rRNA from 1 species